rnacentral:rRNA from 1 species
AAAAUUAGAGUGUUCAAAGCAGGCAGAUUCAAUUUUCUGCCACCGAAUACAUUAGCAUGGGAUAAUGGAAUAGGACCCUGUCCUCCUCUUUUCAGUUGGUUAAUUUACGUGUGAGGAUCAGGGUAAUGAUUAAUAGGGAUAGUUGGGGGCAUUAAUAUUUAAUUGUCAGAGGUGAAAUUCUUGGAUUUAUGAAAGAUUAACUUCUGCGAAAGCAUCUGCCAAGGAUGUUUUCAUUAAUCAAGAACGAAAGUUAGGGGAUCGAAGACGAUCAGAUACCGUCGUAGUCUUAACCAUAAACGAUGCCGACCAGCGAUUAGGAGACGUUGAAUACAAAACACCACUUUAUAUAAUUCAGUAUAUGGUCAGCAAUGGCUGUGUAUUGUUUGUAUAAAGUUUCAGGUGAA